CCAGAGUAAAGCUCCGUCUUUGCGGCCAGCUCCUCCAGACACACAUCAGCACCCACGGGCAUCGACUUCGUGCACAUCUUCAGGAUGCAAAGACGGGCCUAGACACACAUGGGCCUGCGCAGUGCCGCGUCCAAGGCGUCCGGUCUGUUGGUGGCGCCGACGAUGAGGAAGCGAUCGGACCGUUCGAUCCCGUCCAUCAGUGUGAGGAGCUGAGCGACCAGGCGGUUCUCUGGUGCCGACGAGCCGGUUCUCCUCGGACACAGAGAGUCCAACUCAUCGAGGAACAAAACGCAGGGACCCUCUUCAGCUGCAGAGCGAGCGCGCUCGAACACGGCACGUAGCUUCUCCUCACUCUCACCCGGCCGUGGUCCCACCACCUGAAAUUAUUAUUCACAAUUACUAUCGAUAUUAAUAAGCUGUGUUUAUAUAAAACAUGCUGCUAAGAAGUGUUUCACAAAAAAGUCAAUGCGUUUUAUUUGUUUAAAAUAUUUCAUUGAAAUUAAUCUAUAUAUCAUUCCAAAAUGUACAACAUCAACAGGCCUCUGGCACAAGUCCUUAUAGCAUGUAUUGCAAAAACAAUACACAAAGUCACAUUAUUAUUUUUAAAAACCCAUUAUUUUAAAAACCCACUAUUUUGUCAUUUGCCCUCUAUCUGAGAAUAAAGUAUAUUCAUUGGAACAAUAUUCCAGGAUUUGUUAUUGGCCUGUUAACUCAUCAGUGAUGACUAGCAGUACUUUUGCUUGAAUAUUAUGUUCUCCUACUUUAUUUGUUGGAUUAUCUUUCCACAACUUCUCAAUUGAGUGUUCAGACAAUUUCCUAAUGAAUGUGGAUUUUGGCAACAUACUGCGAUUGAAAAUGUUGAACAAAAUAAAGUAAUGUAGACAGAUACGGCAUAUGAAAGGAUUUGAUCAAUACCUCUGGCCCUCUGACCACCACCAGGCUGGCUCCCACCUCCCCCACCACCCUGCGGACCAGCAGGGUCUUGCCCACACCUGGAGGCCCCACUAGGAGCACACCUCUGGGACACGACACGCCAAGAGAGCUCAGGGUGCCCGGGUAGAGCAGGGGCAGCUGCAGCAUCUCUCUCAGGGAGGCACUCACCUAAAAUAUAAUUUAAAAAAAAAUACAGGCAUCACGUUGUGGGAUUACACACUCUGGAUGAAUGAAUACUUGUAAUAUCAUUACUCUGACCUCCUCCAGUCCCCCCAUGGGGACCACUGGCUGGUCCUGCAGCUGACUCCUGUAAUGCCGGAGAGUCUGGACGCCAACUAUUUCCACGCACGUUUUGGAGGUUGAUCACAUGCUUCUUGUGGACAUGCACACCUUUCAGCGUGUCCUUCACCAGCUCGUGAAGGAGGCCAGGAGGUGUGCGUUUCUUAAAAUCAACACUCUGCACCACCACGGU